rnacentral:rRNA from 1 species
AUUGAACGCUGGCGGCAGGCCUAACACAUGCAAGUCGAGCGAGCGGCGGACGGGGGAGUAAUGUAUGGGGACUGCCCGAUAGCGGGGGAUAACUACUGGAACCGGUAGCUAAUACCGCAUCGUAUCGGAUAACCCAGAUGGGAUGAGCUAGUAGGUGAGGUAAUGGCUCACCUAGGCGACGAUCCCUAGCUGGUCUGAGAGGAUGAUCAGCCACACUGGGACUGAGACACGGCCCAGACGCCUACGGAGGCAGCAGUGGGGAAGAUUGCGCAAUGGGCGCAAUCCGGAUGCAGCCAUGCCGCGUGUAUGAAGAAGGCCCUAGGGUUGUAAAGUACUUUCAGUCGGGAGGCGUUACCGACAGAAGAAGCACCGGCUAACUCCGUGCCAGCAGCCGCGGUAAUAC